GUCCUGGGAAAACAUCUAUAGCCUGUGUCAAAGAUGUGAACAGGAUACUUACUGCAGCAUUGUUUGUAAUGAAGAACAAUUAGAAGUUCUAAGUUUCCAUCGUAAAAGAAUAAAUAAAAUGUGAUAUGUCUCUACAGUGGUCUGAUUGACAGCAUUAGAAGGAAUUAAAAUCAAACUGUAGAAUGAUGCUUUACAGUAUGAUGACCUAUGUAUUAGCAAAGACACAUAAAAACAUUCUGGCUAUGACUGCACACAGAUAAACAGAGGAAAGAUACACAGCAGGUCUUUGUUUGUUACCAGAGAUUGAACCCAGCAGUGCUUAACCACUGAGCCACAUCCCCAGCCUGCUUUUAUUUUUAAAGAGGGUCUUACUUUAAACUUGUGAUUCUCCUGC
rnacentral:lncRNA from 1 species